UUGUUUCAAUUACCCUGAUAAUAAAAGCAAAAUUUCUUAGAGGAGAAAUAAAUAUGGAUGUUUGGCCUCAAUUGCUUAGAUUUCUGCUUUCUGUUUGAUUUUUCGGUUAGGGAUCCUGGUAUCUAGAUUUUGGCACCAUCUCUGCUUUUUUUUUUUUUUCUUUUCCUUCCAUAACUACAGCAUUAUGGAAGUUCCCGGGGUCGAAUCCGAGCUGCAGCUGGGGUCUAUAUCACAGCCACUGCAACACAGGAUCUGAGCCACAUCUGUGACCUACACCACAGCUCGCGGCAACAUUGGAUCUUUAACGCCCUGAAGGAGGCUAGGGAUUGAACCAGAAUCCUCACAGACACUAUGCUGGGUUUUCAGCCAGCUGAGGCACAACAGGGCCUCCCAUCGUCACUUCUUUAAGAAGCCUCAGCUGCCCUCUUAGUGGGGUGAUACUUUCCAGUAAUGUUUACGUUGAACCUGGUACUUACUUGGCACUACAGUGCAUGACACUUAUAUGUCUGAUUGUUGGAUUAAUAGCUCUUUUCCCACCUGACUAGAAGUGUCAUAAGAGUGGGGCCCCUGUCUGCUUCUGCCUAACAUAACACAUCCACACUUAGCACAGGCCUGGCACAAAAUAAGUGAGGAAAGGGGAGCGACAUCACUAAUUGCCAGCAAAGAACCUCUGAACUCAUUUGCUGUUCCUCCCGCAUGAUAGUUAAAAAUGGCUGUGACGGGGAGAUCGGGUCCUCGGAGAGGAAAAACUGAGACUAGUGUCAGAAAAGGGACAAAGUUCAUUUGGUCAGAAAUGAGAAAGGAAUAGCUCUCUCUGUCUUUUUCAGGACCUAGUUUAAGCUUUAUAUCAGAAACAAUGACUUAAUUUUCUUCUAUGAAAGUAAAUUUGGAAUUGGGUUUAAAGUGCUAAAUUCAAUUUUACAUCAAUGGUAUGAAAUAAGUUGACAUAUCCAUUUUCCCCCAAGAGGUGAAUAAAUACUACUUUAUAGGUCUGAUGCCAAAAUGGUUCAAACAAAUGGUUAGAACACUGCACCCAAAAUACAUGAAAGUCAGGGCUCAAUGCACUGAUAGAAGUAAAAAUGAGAAAAUGACCUACACACACACACACACACACACACACACACACACACACACACACACACACAAAAGUAAUACAUGGGGUUGAGGAAUAAAAGAAACUGUCUUUUUCCUCAAGGAGAUUACAUUAUAUUUCCAUGAGGAACAUGUUACAUUUGUAACUAUAAAAAGAAAACUGGAAAGGGGACAGGUGGGGGGAGGGGAUGGACUGGGGGUCUGGGAUGGCAUAUGCACACUGAGGUAUAUAGAAUGAUUGGCCUUAAAUGUAAUACAGAUCAUUGAGUAAUAAAAAAGAGAAUGAUUGGUCAACAGGGGCCUUCUGAGAAAAGAAUCUGAAAGAGAGUAGACGUGAGAAGAAUAAAAGAAGGAAAGAAAAAAAAGAAAGGAAAGAAAGAAAGGAAGAAGGAAGAGAGGAUGGAAGAAGGAAGGAGGGAACAAAGGAAGGAAGGGAGAAAGGAAGGGAGGGAGGGAGGAAGAAAACGGGCUUUUUACUCUAUAAAAAUAAAAUAGCAUUUUAUUUUCACAACGUUUUUGGUCAAGAGAAGUAAUUUAAUCUGCUUUUAUAGGUGAGUCAAGAGAAGCAUGGGAAAUAUAUAUACAUACGCUCUUCUUAACAUUUAAUGUUGCAGAAAGAAUUAGUGGUCUAUCAGUGUGUUUUUUUAGGACUACAGAGGGUUAUAGAAUUUGAAGUGGAGCUACUGCCUUCAGCCUAAUGAAACACUUAUAAUGGGGUUAGAUAGAAUUGAAAGGCAGAUAAACAUCUGACAGCAACAGUUUUAUAGGUUUUGUUUGCUUUAAGUGGUACAGUGACAGUCUGGUAGUCAUCAGCUAAUGGUUAAACUCUCUGGCAGCCAGAUCUGAUGAGGAAUGUCCAAAACAGUUCCAAAUGGGCUCCAGAAAACAUAAACUGCAUAGGCUUAGGAAUUUCAGAAGAGAAAUCUAGUUCAGUAAUCAAGGCAGGACCAUAUUCUAUACUGAGCUCCACUAUAUGUUGGUUUCUAAAAGAUUAGAUCCAACUAAUCACUUAUACUCUUCUUUAACAUCUUCUCCUAUGAAUAAACACAGAAAUGAGAGUUCAAAAAAUCACAUUAUGCUGACCUCAACAUAAACGCUAAUUCUAGCAUUCUAUUCGUCUCACAUCUUACAUAUGAGUUCUAAGAUACUAUGCCAUUUCAAUAGGAUGCAUGUUAUUUUUUCAGUCUAGUUUUUGGAGUUCCCUAGCAGUUCAGCAGGUUAAGGAUCUGGCGGUGUCAUUGCUGGAGCUUAGGUCAUUGCUGUGGCACAGGUUAGAUCCCUGGCCCGAGAACUUCUGCAUGCCACAGGCAUGGCCAAAACAAACCAACAAAAAACUAGCUUUUUACCUUUAUAAUGUGACGACCUUUUCGAAAGAGCUAGGAUCUAGGACUCUUAUCAGAAGUGUUGCUAAGCUGCAUGUGUGUCCAGUCUUUCCUUCGAGAUUAGUGAUAUUAAUGGCACAACUGAUGGACCUUACAGUUCAAGUGAAAUCUCCUCAGGAUGAUGGCCUUAGCUCAGAAUCACCUGCGGAGCUGUCUAAAACCUGAAUGCCCAGACCCAGAAAAUCAGAAUCUCUGGAGGUGGAAGUCCAUUUGGUGUGAUUUCAACGUGCAGUCAAGGCUGAGAACCAUUGGUCUAGACAGAGAUGCUUCUCUCAAGUUAUUUUUGGGAAAAAUAAGAGCUUAAGUGAUGCAUCAUAAGUCACAGAUAAUGGGAAAUAGAAUCGGAACCACCUGAUUUCCCGCUCGGGGGCCUUGCCACUAGAUUGAAUUACACCCCAGGAACAUCAGCAAAUAAUUGACCAGCCCUGCCAAGUCAGGUCUUUGGUAUUCAUUCUUGCAAACUUCUGCAUGUCUAAAGCUAGCAGAAACUGACUGUAUUAGAAAUAGCUAAGAAAUAGAAGACACUUUUACCUCCUGAAAUGAUGACACUCAAGAUGAUGACAAACUAAUUAGGAACUCAUAAUGCUUCUAAAUGUAAUGCCAGAAAACAUGCAAUACAAGAUAUAAUUAAUGGUUGAUUAAUAGAAGCACUUACUGACAGAGUCAUAGGAGUUCAGAGAAGAGAGAGUUAAUUCUGGAAAAUAUCACUCUAUGAGAAGACAAGACUCAUCAAUUGUAAACUUGAAAUUAUGAGUAUUUUAAAAGGCAAUGAAUGGCAUUUCAUGAACUUUCAGUAACAACCCAAUUAAUUCCAACAGGUGUGCACAUAAGUCAUUGAAGAUCGCUGUUUACUAGGCUAGAUUUGGUAGAUUCAGGAGUUUACAGCCCUUGCACAAUUUUUAGUUAUAAAUCAAAAUGCAGAUGCAGUCAUUUUAUUCAUUGAGGUCAGCUGGUGGAAAAUACAAUUAACAGUGAAGCAAAAUGAGUUAUUAAUAAACUCACGUGGGUCUGAGAAAGUCAAAUUAAUAUUCAAGAGUUUAGGAGUUCCCAUUGUGAAUCAAUGGGUUACGAACCUGACUAGUAUCCAUGAGGAUGCAGGUUUGACCCCUGGCCUUGCUCAGAAGGUAAAGAUCCGGCAUUGCCAUGAGCUGUGGUGAAGGUUGUAGACACAGCUCAGAUCUGGCUGGCGUUGCUGUGGCUGUGGUGUAGUCCAGCAUCUGCAGCUCUGAUUCGACCCCCUAGCCUGGGAACUCCAUAUGCUACAAGUGCAGCACUAAAAAGCAAAAGAAAGAAAGAAAAAAAAAGAAAGAAAGAAAGAAAGAAAGAAAGGAAGGAAGGAAGGAAGGAAGGAAGGAAGGAAGGAAGGAAGGAAGGAAGGAAGGAAGGAAGAUUCUUGAGUUUAUUUAAUAUCACAAUCAUUAGUCAUCCCAAACCAUCAUUUCUUCAUCCCUCUUCCUUUGCACAUCUAUAGAACUAGGAUUUCAGCUCUCCUACGACAUUGCCUACAUUUAGGUUUGAGUUUUAAAUAUCUAGACACAAUCUACUGCACUAUACACUCCCAGAAAUACCCAGUGUGGUGGGAAGAAGAAUGGGGAGUGACUAAGAGCAUGGAUUCUGGCCUCAUACUACCCAGGUUCAAGUCCAGGCUCUGUCAUUUACCAGCAGGACGAUCCUGAGUACACUACCCAACACCUGUGUGUUUCAAUUUCUUUACCUCUAAAAUUAGUAUUAUUAGUAGCAGUACCUCAAAAAAUUGUGCUAUCAAUCAGCUAGUACUCAUAGAGUGCUCAUAACCGUGCCUUGAACACUGGACAUACUCAAUAGAUAUUGGUUAUUGUGAUUUACAGUAAGAAAUAUAUAUUUUGGUUUUGUUCCUGUUCCUCACACAGAGUUCCUAAAACCCUUGUAAUUUCUGUGGAGAGAGAAAUAAAAGUAUUUUCUGUUAUGUUAAUGACAUAACAUUGCAACAUAACACAGUGAAUUUUGGAAAGCACCUAAUCACAGGGGCUGGUUGCCAGUGAAACCAACCAUGUGAUCAGAAAGUUGAAACUUUCAGUCCCAUCCAUGUCCUCAAGGGAAGGGAGAAGGGCGAGGCUAAGUUCAAGCACCAAUGGCCAAUGAUUCCAUCAACAAUGCCUAUGUAAUGACACCUCCGUAUAAAAGCCAAAAGAGCAGAAUCCCAAGAGCUUCAUGCUGGGGAACACAUGAAGGUGCUGUGAAAGUGGCAGGCUCAGACAGGGCAUGGAAGCUCUGUGCCCUUCCCCCCAUACCUUGCUCUCUUCCCCAUUUUCCAUCUAGAAAUUUCCAAGUUACAUCAUUUUAUAACAGACUAAUGAUCUAAUAAGUAAAAUGUUUCCCUGAGUUCUGUGAGUUGCUGUAGCAAAUUAACCACACUCAAUGAGGAGGCUGUGAGAAUCCCCAGUCUAUAGCAGAUUGGUCAGAAGCUAGAUAACAACUGGAUUUGUGAUUGGUGUCCGGAAGUGGGGUGGGUGUCUCAUAGGAUUGAGUCCAAUUAAGUUGAAUUGCAGGGCAGUCAGUGGAGAAUUGCUUGUGGGAAAAAACUCACACACUGGAACUGGGUGCAGAUCAGUUAUUACAGGCUUUUCUACUGGUAGUUAUUAAAUGGACACUGGCUUGAAGGAUUGAUGGAUGGACAAAUUACAUCUGAUAAAAGAAUAACAAUAUGCACUGCAAGCAAUAGGACUUGGUUGUCUUCCUAUAUACUUCAAACCUAGUAAAAUACUAGAAAACUUUUAUAACCUCUUUUUGAACUAUAUAAAAUAAUGAUGUUAAUACUUUCUUCAAAUUGACAUAGAGACUGACCUGUUUUUCACUGAAACAUUUGAAAAUCAUGUUCUACAAGUAUAAAAUAUUAUUUUGAAAUAUCCUAGUUUUAUCCAAUGUUUUCCAGAAGAAGUGGGGAAUUAUUAUUAUUAUUAUUAUUGUUAUAUUUUGUCUUUUCUAGGGCCGCACUCACGGUAUAUGGAGGUUCCCAGGCUAGGGGUCGAAUCGGAGCUGCAGUCACCAGCCUACACCAGAGCCACAGCAACGCGGGAUCUGAGCCACAUCUGCAACCUACACCACAGCUCACGGCAAUGCCAGGUCCCCAACCCACUGAGCAAGGCCAGGGAUCCAACCCUAAGCCUCAUGGUUCCCAGUUGGGUUCGUCAACCACUGUGCCAUGACGGGAACUCCCUGGGGGGAACCAUUUUUGAAAGAAACUGCAAAGAGCUUAAUAUUACAUUCUUUGUUCAAGUUAGCAGAUUUGGAACAUCGCAUGCACUAAAUCUCUAAUAAUAUAAUGAGAAGUCUCUCUCUUGAGUUUGACAUCUGCUAAAGCACCUGUUGGAAAGGCAGAGACAGCUCCUUAUCUAGGGGCUGGAAUGGAAAGAGUAAGACUAUGGCAGUAUCUUCUGGAGAACUAUGGCAGUUCUAAGGAAAGUAACACUUCCCUGCCACAUAUUGAAAAACUCCAGAUAUAACAUGCAUAGUUUUCCUUACCCUAUGGAAAAGCAUCAAAGGGGUACGUACUUUAAAUGAACGUGAUCCCUUCCCUAAGAUCACUGUCUUCAAGUGAGACAGACCGAGGGUUGUAGAGGAUGCUUAGUGCACUACCCAGAGGAAUAAAAACGUAUGUCAACCUGAUUUAUUAAGUAAUUUCUGCAAAAGCUGCACCUAGGAGAUGCAUAGCAGGAGCUGAGUUAUUGGAGGAGCACCUCCCAGGCCGCACAUAGGCAGCACAAGCAGUCUUGAAUUUACAACUUGCUGAAAGGAAGAAGGGGAAAAAAAACUGUGAAGAAAACUUACCAUUCCAUUUAGGUAGGCUGAUAAAUUGUAAUUUGUGGAAAGUGCUCAGUUCAAAGCUUGUACAUUUUAUUUUAUGAGUUUAUGCAUUUAGCACAUGUUCUGCUGAGUAACCUGGAGGGGAAUGCAUGAGUUCUGUCUCUUGGGCUCCAAGAGGCAAAAUGGACAAGUGCAUUUUACAUCCAGUGACUUCUC
rnacentral:lncRNA from 1 species